AGCUACGAUUGGAGAACAAGGACAAA
rnacentral:piRNA from 1 species